rnacentral:rRNA from 1 species
UACGUAGGUGGCAAGCGUUGUCCGGAUUUACUGGGCGUAAAGAGCGCGCAGGCGGUCGUUCAAGUCGCGUGUGAAAGCCCCCGGCUCAACUGGGGAGGGUCACGCGAUACUGCUCGGCUCGAAGACAGGAGAGGGAGGUGGAAUUCCCGGUGUAGUGGUGAAAUGCGUAGAUAUCGGGAGGAACACCAGUGGCGAAGGCGACUUUCUGGCCUGUUCUUGACGCUGAGGCGCGAAAGCUAGGGGAGCAAACGGG